CUACGUGCCAGCAGCCGCGGUAAUACGGAAGGUUCGGGCGUUAUCCGGAUUUAUUGGGUUUAAAGGGAGCGUAGGCCGGAGAUUAAGUGUGUUGUGAAAUGUAGACGCUCAACGUCUGAAUUGCAGCGCAUACUGGUUUCCUUGAGUACGCACAACGUCGGCGGAAUUCGUCGUGUAGCGGUGAAAUGCUUAGAUAUGACGAAGAACUCCGAUUGCGAAGGCAGCUGACGGGAGCGCAACUGACGCUUAAGCUCGAAGGUGCGGGUAUCAAACAGGAUUAGAUACCCUGGUAGUCCGCACAGUAAACGAUGGAUGCCCGCUGUUGGUACCUGGUAUCAGCGGCUAAGCGAAAGCAUUAAGCAUCCCACCUGGGGAGUACGCCGGCAACGGUGAAACUCAAAGGAAUUGACGGGGGCCCGCACAAGCGGAGGAACAUGUGGUUUAAUUCGAUGAUACGCGAGGAACCUUACCCGGGCUUGAA
rnacentral:rRNA from 1 species